rnacentral:RNase_P_RNA from 1 species
UGAGGUCACCGGGUGGCCGCGGCUCGGCGCGCGAGCGACCGGGUCGAGGAAAGUCGGGACUCCACAGGGCAAGGGUGCUGGCGAGAGCCAGGACGGGGCGACCUGUCGGAUCGGGCAACAGAGAACAGACCGCCGAUGGCCGGUCGGGCGACCGGGCGGCACAGGCAAGGGUGAAACGGUGCGGUAAGAGCGCACCAGCGUCCGGGGCGACUCGGGCGGCUCGGCAACCCCCACCCGGAGCAAGGCCGAGCAGGGGACGGGCGGCCCGCCCGAUGUCCCCAGGUGGGCCGCAAAGAUGGAUGGCCACCCAUCGGGACCCCGGCAACGGGCCCGAGGACAGAAUCCCGCUUACAGGUGGCCUCACCGU